GGAUUCGGUGGGGGUGAAUGCAGAGAACGGAACGGAGCACCAGGACGGGGGCACGCUGCUCUCAGGACGCGCAGAACGUCAGAGUGGGUCGAAAAGGACGGGUGUUUCUCGAUCUCUUUCGCUCCUACGGCCGACCCUCUCUCGUUUCUUUCGAUCGUUCGUCUCUCUCGCUCACACCCUCGCGGAGAGGUAGAGAAAGAGAGGCCGAUGGCGGGGCGAGAGUCGGCUUACUACGCGGUGAAACGCUACCACGGCGUUCAGUCGUCAGCGAUCAGACCGCCGGGCAGUGUGAACCUUCCUGGGCAGUCUCUUCAUCUAGUCUACCAUCGGCCGUCCCUUCUCGGACACGGCGCAAUAAUCGGCAUCUGGGAAAGCCGGAGAAUCGCUUUCGAGAUGGAUUUGCCUAAUCGUCCCCGAUGAUCCUGGACCACCGCGGUCCGAGGAAACCGUCCAUCGUCGAGACUUUAUCACAAGAUAUCGCGGGACGACUCGAGUUCAGGGGCAGCGAUCGAAACGAUUAUCACCGAUUUUCGGGGAAAAUACUUCGAGCCUCCGCCGCUAUCGAAUUUCAUCAUCUGCCACGAGACCUGCCGCGAUCGACGAUGAACGCGGGCUUGCGGGAACACGGAACCCGCUCCAACCGAUCCCCGGUUCUGGCUAACAGAUGUUCGGGGAGAUCUCGGGGAGCGAACGGUGCUCGAGGUUGGAAUAUCCGCGGGCCAAUCGCUGCGAUAGCACUUUCAAUCGCACAGAAUUCGAGAGGAAAUUGGAUACGGAGAAGUUGCCUCGACACCCGAAGAUGAUCUCGAGGAUCGUUCGAGGCGGACUUGGCCGAUCAGAAUUCACUGACUUUGGGUGAAUCCGUCUCGCUGAUCGAAUUUCACCAGUGAAUUAUCACGUCACAGUGAGACCAAUGGACGUCGACGAUCGUUCGAACGGUUUGUGCGACGUCGUGUCGAGUCACGUGGUGCUCCGAAACGCGUGAACCGAUCUUCCUCAGUCCUAGCACGUACGGUUUCUCUUGCGCGAGAUCGCGAGCAGAUCGGUGAAAAAAAUGGAGCGUGGUCCCGCCACGCGUCGCCGAAGAGCCAGCUCGAUGCUUGUUUGACCGUUUCUCUUCGAGUACGCGUUGCUGUUCGAUCGUUACGUAACGAAAACCAACCGAUCACACCUCUCGUGGAAACGAACGAAUUCUUAUAGUCGUUGCGAGUGCGGGCAAGUGUAAAGCGAUGUACGAAAGAGAAACAGAUGAAAUGAAAACGAAAAAUGUGUGCUAAAUAGUGGGGGAAAAAAGCUGCGAGAUAUUUUGUACGAUGAUCGCCGAGAGACACGAUGAACCGAAGAAUAUGUUACGUUUGGACAUGUUAGCAGCCGACGGGCACUUUCGCCACCAGAUCUCAACCAAUCGCCAACGAGCAAACGAGGUGCGAAGCUCGAUAGGAAGUGUGCGUGUUUCUUAGUGGCGAUCCGGUAAGAAAUUCCGCGAGACGGACCGAAAAUCACAUUUCCAGGUGGAGUAAAGUGAUUGGGUAAAUUAAAAACUAUUUUCCUUAAACGUAUAGAUAGAUGGAAACGGAAGUAUGACUUCGUUAGAAGGUGACUCGAGUAAUAAUUGGAUAAAUAAGCGAAGCUAGCAUAAACCGAAUGCUCGGAGUCUUCGUCACGACACUCGCCUCCUGCAUCAUCUUCGGAGUCCCCGGCGAUCCUCUCGAAUUCGGUUGUUCGCCGCGAAGGUAUUAGCACGGGUCGUAAAAAGAAAGGCUAAAAGAAAGUUCGAGGGAAGACAAGAACCCAGCGAAGAGAAGAGAUUUUCGCGUCGAACGGCCACGGGGGUGAUGGGGUGGGUUACGUCAUCGAGUAGAUUCGAGGCGCCGAAGAAUUCAGCAAGACGAUACGGCCCUGCCCUCGGUGGGCAGAUAGGGUAUAAUCAUGGCGAGUUUCGUAUCUCGAAAGGGGCACACGGGAAGAUGGUCCAACAUCUGCCGCUGCAGGGAAUCUCUGCCCACAUGCUGGCCGAUCCGUACACGCACGUACGCACGCACACGCGCAAAAAGUGACAUAGCUACACGCUGGGACGUCAUGUAAAUUCAUUCGAAACACAUGGCAGGGACGAGCGGCGUUCCUCUCUUUCUCUCUCUCAUGCUCGAAAAAGGGUUCUUCGAUGGAGGAAUCCGAGGAACUGCGGGCACGCGGGGCGGGCCGGGGGGUCGGGGUAAAAAAGGCAGAUGAUAACUUUGACUUACAAGCUAGACUUCGACUUCUCUUCGUACGGGUUCGAGGGACGUAGGACCGGACCACCGGCUCGAAUAGCACUCUUGGUUACUCUACCGAUUCUUUCUUUCUUCCAGAUAACGCUGAGGCUUCUUUUCUGGGCUUUAAAAUCAUUUCUCAGAUGGGAAAGAUUCGAUGACGAUAGGGAAUGCCUAAAAUUGCCCUUCUGGGAAGGCAGGAGGUUGGAAUACCUGAUAUAGUGACGACUUCGUUAAUUGGUUGAUUGUUUCUAAAAUGAUACUUUUUCUAUAGCAACUGCUGGUAAUUGUUUCAUAUCCAUUGCAGUCGAGUGAUACAAACUGCUUUUUUGUAAUGAUAUAUAAUUUUUGUAGAUACAAUUACGGUGUACAGUUAGCUGAAUGAUAUUUAUACUCUUUGCAAAUACCUGAUUUCUAUUGUAAUUUGCACUUUGGCUAAUAUUAGUAUUUAAUAUUGAAUUUGGGUCUGAUAUUCAAGGAACUAUAAUAUAUAUUGAACAUAUUAAUAUAUUAUAUAAAAGUAUAUGAAUGUAGUUUCAAAGUACUAUCAAGAUACAUGUACCAACAAAGAACUUGAAGAAUGUUAUUUAAAAAUAGUUUGAUUAAAAAUUCAAGCUUUUAGUCUAUGUCAAAUAUCUCUGUUAUCGUUGAUAAUGUAAAAAAGUUUGUACAAGAAACGUUAUUGCUAAUUAUGUUUCGAAACGUUUUUGUUGGGUUUACAUUUUCGAUAGAAUCGAUAUUAUUUGAGAUACCAAUCAAAUUACACCUACGUUAAUAAUCUAUAAGGUUCGGUAGCAACACGAAAAAAAAGCGAACACAGUGAAACAACUUAGGUACAUGAGGUAGUAUAACAUAAAACCAGCACAUUUGAUUACCGUUUUGGUAUAUUGCUCUAUGCUGACGUCAAGGAUUAUAUCAGUGCUAGAUUUCAUAAGAUAAUCACCGUGUACAGUGCCCACGGUUUUUCCCUUUGCGUGUACACUUUGAUGUGUCUGUCAUUUUCGAACAAUCGUUUCUGUACUUUUAUGUUACGUGUCAUAUUAACAGUAUUCUUUAAGGUUGUUUGAAUGUCUAAAUUAUUGACCACUCAAAUUAUCUAUAAUAAAAGGAAGAACCACUCAAGUAUAACUCGACGUUGUAAGGUAAUGGCUUAAACAAAGAUAUAAGGAAUGAUCAUCAUCAUCGUUCCACUUUUUGCAUUUUUUUCACCACUGAUUAGUUUCGAUGCACUCUCCACCGAUUGUUAGAGACGUUCGACUGAAAAUUCUCUACUAGGCAAACCCAAGAAUGCGUUACACGUUAAUCAGAACCAAGUUCAGUCGGAUUCAGCUCAUUAACGAAUUACAGUUAUAAAACUAGCGGCACUCGAUGCUAUUUUCUUCGUUAGGGGCGAUCGUUAGAUUGUGGAGGACUACAGUUACUCUCCAAUCUGACGAAAGAGAAAUUUAUUAUCGUUGCCUUGCGGAAUUUCUGAAAUUAUCGGCACGGAUCACGAGAACAAUCUUCUACGAGAAUCUGUGGGUUCGUUCCGAUUUCGUUAAUUGGUUGAUUAUUUCUAAAAUGAUACUUUUUCUCUAGCAGCUGCUUGUAAUUGUUUCAUAUCCUUUGCAGUCGAAUGAUACAAAUUGCCAUUCGUAAUGAUAUGAUAUGAUGAAUUUUUUAGAUACAAUUACGUUGUACAGUUAACCGAAUGAUAUUUAUACUCUUUGCAAAUACCUGAUUUUUAUCGUAGCUUGCACUUUGGCUAAUAUUAGUAUUUAAUAUUGAAUUUGGGUCUGAUAUUCAAGGAACUAUAAUAUUAGGUUGUCCCAAAAGUUCCUUUCGUAAUUUGCACUCCAUUAUUUUGUUGUAGCAGUGUUUAUAUAAAUAGACAAUCUAACUUCUUAGAUGUUGAUGUUGUAACAGUAAUGGAGCAAAAUGAAUCGUACACAAUUCAAUAAUGUAACAUUAGACAUAAAAUAUUGUGUAUGUAUUACUUAUUAAUAAAACGAAAGAAACUUUUCGGACAACCUAAUAUAUAUUGAACAUAUUAACAUAUUAUAUAAAAGUAUAUGAAUGUACUUUUAAAGUGCUAUCAAGAUACAUGCACCAACAAAGAACUUGAAGAACGUUAUUCAAAAGUAAUUUGGUUAGAAAUUCAAGCUUUUAGUCUAUGCCAAAUGUCUAGCAUCCUUCUGAUAGGUAGAAUAAUGUGCUCAGAAAUAAAAUUUGUUUAUAACUUCGAUACAUUGUUUAUCGUUCUUCAGCACAUUUGAAGUUCAAAUUAAACUUUCAUUAAUGUGUCCUCGACAAAUUAUAAUUCAAACGAUAAACAUGUUUUAACCAGCUUCGCUCUUCCUGUCAAAAGAUUGAUUCACAUUCGAAAUUAUUAUUAUUCGUCCCUUCUCAGAAUAAGUUUGGCGACCCCUCGUAGACGAGGAAUGCUAAGUAGUGGUAAGAUUAGGCGUCCGUAAAUAGCAGUGGGCUCGGGUAACGAGACGUUCCUGCGUAACGAGGGUUUCCGAAGAAAUCAUUAACAGUGCAAUUCCCGCGCUUCGCGAGUAAUUACACACCCAACCAUAGAAUUCCAACUAUCCCUGAUUCAUUAUGCUGACAUCGCGGCAAUAGAUCGCUUUUUGUCUUCAAUUCGUCAAAUCCACGCGACUGUGUCCGAUCCUCCGAUUUGAUAAGCAGAAAUGUUUAAUGCAGUUUCAGAUACUGGAUGAGAUAGACAAAGUUUUUAUCGAGGUAAAAGGUUUCGUAUAACAAGUGAAAGAUAAAUAAAAGAAAGUUCUACGUGGGAACUUUUGGAGCACUCUGUAUAUUUAUAAUUAUAGAGGCGUAGUUUACAAUUUUUAUUUUCGUAUUAUUGGGAGUUAACUCGGAAAACUAAUAAUAUUAUAUUUUCAACAAUUUAAACAAUUGCGUGCAUAGAAUAAGCCAAAAUUACAUUCAAUAGAAAGCACAACAUUACGUUAAUUUAAAUUAAAAUCACAAUCUGAAUAAAUCACAAUCUUCAUUUGACUAAACAUUGCGAAUAUAUAGGUUCGCGUACAGCACUCGGUUACAUAGAUUUAUUCGCAAAGUCCACGAAUUUAAAUUGUUCAUACUUCCAACCCGUCUAAUUACUCCAGAAAGAACAAACAAUAUUAUUCUCCUCAAUUGAUUGAAAGAUAUCGUCUUGAAUUAUGUCGUUUAAUUGUUCGUGACUGUCGUGCGGAGACCAUGUUAGGCAUCCGUUAUUCGAAUCAAAUUCUACCCAUCUCUGUUCCGAACCGAGAGAAAAUAUGUGCGAGAGGGCCUCGCGUACGCGAGGAUAAAACCAGAAAAAGGAAUGGGAAAAAAAGUCAGAAAAAUAGUAGCGCUCGCUGGCAGCGCGGAAUUGCAGAACUGCCUUUAAUUAAAGCCAUCAAGCUAGUUGAACAAUUAUCAUUAAUUACGGACGUUGGUUGGUCGCUCACACGAGCCAUCGUCAGCGCAGAGCUGCCCUAGAACGUUUGGUUUCUCUCGCGUGCACGAAGACGGUUUAAAAAGACGCGGACCGCAAUAAAAAGAAGGAAUCCGACGCAUAGGAAGGGAGAACGAAACACGAUGGUGUAUUUUCAUCGACGUCCGCCUUCCUCACGGUCGGGACAUCCAAUUUGAAUUCUUAAGCGAAACGAUUUUCACCGCUGUUUGAAGAAGUGCUAAUUAAAAAAGCGAGCACCUGGUAUCAUGUUCAAAUCCUCUCUCGAUCGUCUGUAAAUCGUUGGAUCGUUAACCGUCCGGUUAUUAGCGGACGGGAACAGUCUAACAGGAACUAUUCUGAAACGAUAGAGAUUUCUCUGAUCUCGAGGAACGUCGACGAUCUUAGUUUUCUAUUCUUCGCGAUUUCUUAAUAGUUUUUUUUCAGAGCAAUACAAAAUUCUUUGCCCUGAAACUGUGACCUUUCGAUUCAGAGUUUUCUGGGGUCUCUUUAGGAAACUUCAAAAUUAAUAUUAAUUCAGAUUGCGUGUUAUUAAUUCAGAAACGUGUAAACGAAUGAUUGUUUGCAGUGAAAGGGUUUUCACAGAACUUCAAGCACAAGUUUUUUACUUUAUAUGUUAUUUUGUAUUUGUUUGGCAACUUAUGUUUUCAAGACACAAGACAAAUAUUCAGUAAAAAGGAAUACAAGGAAAAUGUGAAGAACGCAAGUCUAAUUACAGAAAUCUACCCUCGAUCGCUGAAAGUUUCAACCUGAAAACUAACCAACACUUAAAAUAGAAAAGAAAUAGAGCACAAAGCAGAAAGAUACCAAGCUCGCGUAUUUUCUUUCGGAAGAAUGUUGGAUAAAGGAUCUGGAUAGACAGAGCCUCGAAGAGUCUGAAACGUUGAAGUUUGAACGCACUUGGCGUACGUUUUCCUAAUGUACGCCGAUCCAAAUUUUACGUUUCGGGGAGUGCCACGAAGCGUUUGAAGCGGUAACAGUGCUCUCGGAGAUUAGGGUCAAGGAACUCCCCGCGUCGGUGGGUUCAUCUUCGGGGGACAACAAUUUCGAAAGGCCAGCGGACGCAUCGCUCAAAGAGAUCCGUGCUACAAUAAAGAGGACAAUUUACGUUCAACAUUGUGGUCGUAAAACCGGGGCCAAUGACUCGAUGAGCCGGCCCGAGAGUCUCAAUGUCAUGAUUUACGCUCACCGAAUAAUUCCCCCUGGACGGCGAAACGGUGGACGUACGAUCGAGGAAAACGCGUUAAUCCGACAUUUCCGAGUGCUUACUUUCGAGCGUGUCCCGUUACAAUCCUGAUAAAACGCUAUGUAUAGACCCCGAGUUUUCAGUAUUGUCAUUAACUUCUGCAGUUUAUCUUUCGUUUCCCUCUUAGAAAAUUAGUAUUCUAGGAUAGGAUUAAACGUACGGAGAUAAACCAUGCUUAGGUAAAUUAGUAGCAGGGUAAACGACUCUGUUGAAAAUCAUAGUUUAGUACCAGUUCUUAGCUGAAAUUAUAAUAAUCUAAAUAUACUCGCGCUUGAGUUGCGCCAAGUGGAUUUGUUGUGCUCUCUGGUAAAUGAUUUUUAAAGUUCUAAUAUACAUUCAGUCGAUCUUCUUUCAGUUAUUUAACUUUCUGAUUUUGAAAGUAGAAUGAAAUUGAAAAUAAUUUCGCGUCCUGAAACACGCGAUAAAAACCGAAGUAUUAAUAUAUUAUAAGCAAGAACAAUGAAUAAACGUUCAAUACCGAAUUUAUAAACAUUAUUAAAUAUUACAAUUUGAAGAGUAGAUAAAUAGAAACUGAGCAAAAUUAUAUACUAUCUUGGAAGGCGGGUAUUUCUACAUAAUGAUUGUACACGGCUAUAUUCUAUCGGACACACAAUACAAUCAUGCCUGUCACAGUAUAUAUUCUUGUUAUCGAAAAGACACACACAUCAUAAUGCUUCUAUUAUCAAGAAAGGCAUUAUACCAAUUAAAUAAAAUUGAGGAAAGCAAGCAUCAUCAGAGAUAAACUAAAUUAUCAUUUUCAUUUUCAUGCAAUCAUACUUGUCAUAGUAUAUAUUCUUGUUAUCGAAAAGACACAGACAUCAUAAUGCUUCUAUUAUCAAGAAAGGCAGUAUAUCAACUAAGUAAAAUUGCGCAUGACAAUAAAUUGCGCGUUAUCCGAGGCUGGUCUCGAUUAUGGUGUCUUAACGGGACAAUGGCGAUCGUGGACGAUAAUGGGGCCCGAUAGCCGGGCCCUUAUUAGGAAAAAUUUAAGGUUCGGGUCGCGUAUUUAUGGGGCGUGCGGACCUCACGCAAGAACGGGCCAUAUUUCUCCGUGAAAUUUAACGAACCUCCGCGCGAUGGGACACCAUUAAAAAAUUCCUGGGCGUCAUGUGGCACCGGCGCAUGCAACGGCGAUAAACGCCGCCGGGGCGGACUAAGCGCGAACGACGCGAGGGAAACGACGAGGAAUGAUAAUAUUACGGGACGUUUCAUGCAGGUCCCGGUGCAAAAGUGUCAUUUGGCGAAGAAAUUGAUUUAUUAGCUGCAAGGAAUAAUUGCACCCACCGCGAAGCUUGGUUUAUGAGCCGCGAUGCUCUCGACGGGUACACCGCGCGAUGGAGCGCACGCGUUGAACUCUCUGGGCGAAAAGAACCUUUUGCGUUCUUUAUUUCUGCUCGCAAGAUAGAGUUAUUCGUGAUACUUUGACGAGUACUGAGCACUAGAUGCCUUAGAAUUAUAAUUAGGCAGGUCUAGUAUCAGGAAUUUAAUUGUCAGGGCAGUUAUGUAGGGGAUGUUUAUGAGAAUUCAUUUUGUUAUUAUGAAAUUUAGGUGCAAGGAGCCUCAGAAUUUGAGUUAGGCGAGCCUACGUUGAAGAAUGUAACUGUCAAAGCACUCAUCUAGUUAGACCUCUAGGAAAGUCUCUGAAUAGGAAGACUUGAAAGGAGAACCAUUUCUCAAAUUACACUUACAUACAUGAAGAUUAAGAAUUAUAAUCAGGAAGACCCAGCCUGUUUUAAAAAAACAGUUCGAAUGAUGUCUGUGUUUAAAAAGUGUUCAUACAUUAAUUUCUCUACACAAAAAUAAUAUUUAUACUUUUUCUUUUUUACUACAAAUGAUUUCACAUAUUGAAAGUACUUACAACAAGUCGAGAGAUUAGUAUAAAGCGUGCCUAGUCUAAUUUUUCCAGCAACAUUCAAUUACAUUUUAAAGUCUCGAUCGUCGACACGUACGCAUCGACGCAACGUCACCAGACGGACGUUUUAAUUAUUUAGGCUGACAAGAAGCGCGUUCGGACGAAAAAGUUCGGAGCCGUGGGAAACUCGGAAGUGCAUUUCGUGCACGUAACGAACUUAAAAAGGCGGAUCGUGUGCAUCGGUUGCCCGGCGACUAUUAUCAGAUCAAUAUUUGCCAAGGAGGGCCGAACUUGCCUAACUUUGAGCCGCGUUCUAGGCUAAUUCGCGUCUGCCGAGGGUGGCUUCUUGGGAGGUAGAAAGAAAUUCGUUGCACGCUGGCAAACGCGAGAGGGAAAAUUCGUGGCGACGUGUAAUUCGAUUACAAUAGCAAGAAAUUUGUUAAAAGAACGUGUCCAACUAAUUCUCUGGUUACAGAGAUAUUUAGAUCAAGCACGGAUUCUCCAAGUCCAAGUUCCAGUGAAAUUCUAAAGAAUUAACGUAGCAACAAAAAUAUAAAGCUUUAUUUUUAGAAAAAUAAAAAUCUAGAAAAAAUACUACAUUGUCAAGACACUUUUUCAGCUCUAAAUAUUUUCUCUCGAAGAUUGUUCAAGACUGAAACGUUUCGAUGUGCCAGGCAGAGAACGUUCCACGCGAAGGGUGCAUCGAAAGGGCACAAAAGAAUAGGGAACCCUUCCUCGCAACCGUGAAAGAGUUGUGAAACCACGAGGUUCUUUUACCUUCGCGACCAGAAAGAAUCGACGGCGUUUCGCGCAUAAUUAACCAGUUCUUGCGAGCGUAUUUCAUCCCCCCGGUGACGUCUCUAUCCAAGCGCUUCGCUCAUAUCGCCGCGUUUACUCGGAUUUACAUCGCGCAUACAUAUGUAUGGAAGAAACUACGAUUUGUAUCGUCACGUUGGCCAAUUAAGGUGCCGGUGUCGUUAACGAAGAGAAUAAUUAGAAAGCGCGGCUCGGGGGACGGUUCCUCGUACGUUGUGGCCACGUUUCUUUUUUCAUUUUUUUUUUUACUUUCUCGGCUGCCUCGGAGGCAAAAAGCGUCCAGGGUGCGCCCUUUAGGUGGUGGAAAGACGCCAAGAAUUAAUAUGUACGUAGGACGUAUUUGCAUUCGAAAUGCCUGCAUAUGAAACGAACGUGACGACCCAUAGAAUGCCCGUGAAACGGACAAUUAAUGGGAGGCAAUUAGAUAGAUUCUCACGGGACCACCCAGUAUAUAUAUGUGUGUGUGUGUGUGACUGUCUGGGUUUCUUUUAUAUUUUUUUAUGUUCUUCAAAUUGUCUCUAAUUUUAUUUAAUUUUAUCUUCUUGGAAGAAAAUAUCGUCUAGAAAUGUUGGAACAAAAUUUCUUCGAUAAAGUUUUCGAAAUAAUUUUUAAAAACAUUUAAGUAUUCUGUAAUUUUUUCUGUUUUUAACUCUUGUAGAGGAACAUUAUGAGGGAAUAAGAAACAGAAGGUGCACAUCUUUCGAAAAAGUUUCUGAAGUAACUGUUUGGAAUAACAAAAUGUUCAGGAAGGUUAUUAAGUGCUGCUGGUUUGAAAACUGAACUUAUCGACCAGGGCUAUUAGUAGAAACACGAACGGUAACUGUCAUUGUUUAUUCAUGUACGAUGAUUUCAAGAUAAGAUGUUAUCGAGCACGGUGUCCACCAGCGGCGAGUGUAGCUAGUGUCAGUUGUUAACGUGAGCAUCAAACAUUUAAAGCGAAUAUUGACACGAUAGAAUUUAGAAAUUUUUAGUAAUAUGUACACAAGGAUAUAGUAUCUUUGAAGAUUUUAUAUUCUGCUAAUUAAACAUUGACUACAUUGAUAUAUCGUUCUUUUUUAUGAUAUUGCAAUCGUUAUUUAAAAUCUCGAAAUGGAUUAUAUAAAAUAAUUAAGUACAUAACGUUAAGAGGAAUGAGAAAUAGCACAAGUUGGAAGCAGAUUCGAGAGUAAUUAAUAAAAAUUGUCUCUAAAUUUCAAACACAAUCAACACUUUUACGUCAAUGGUUCCAAUUACAUGUGCAAUAUAAUCUAAAAAUGAUCUCUGACUAUGCAUAUUAGCUACAAAAAAAACCAAUCACCCAUUUAUUUAUUUAACAUGUGAUUUAAUUACGUAAUUCCUUCUGCUUAGUUCUGCUUAGAAAUUUCAACAUUUUACCCUGCAUUACUUGCUAAAAUAAUUAUUCCUUCUUAUUCCUUUCACGCAUUUCUUUUUGCGAUGUCAAAAUUGUAAUUAACCCUGCCUCCAGCCACGGAAUUAAGCUGGAGUAAUUAGUCACGCAUCGAUUUGUCGUGCGCGAUUCCCAUUCGGAAAAAUGGCUCGUACUUAAGUAGCGUUCGAUGAAUUUCGAGUAACUUGAGCGAGUUCUAGCUACCAUGCGACGGGAUCGAGAAGAAAAAAUAAGAAGAUAUCGUCGCAUGAAUAAUAAACAGGUCGUCGUUUCAGUAUCGCGCGGAGCGCAACCGUGGCACGAUUCGCUUUGCACCCGCGCGACCGCGAGCGGCCGAGCUCCGAGUACACCGUGCUAAACACAUGAUUCCAUGUUUACGGUGAUCGGUUACGAUCAGUAAUCAAUUAUAACGGGGAUCGAGGCUCUUAUCAUCGAUCACGGAAAAUUACCCGCCAUUAAUUCUCACCUUGAAUUCGCGUUCCCCCUCGCCGCGCGGACUAAAACCACAAAAUUAUCGGUUUCUCGCUUCUGGAGUCUCAACUGCAAUCCGGAGGAACGAUAUCGAUCAUGUUCUCGCAACCAUGUUCCCAGUGGAUCGCGAAUUCGUGCUAUUAGAUGGAUAUUUUGAGCUCUGGUCGUGGAAAAACUAGGGCACUUCUGCAAUUGUAUUUAAAAUUUAAGGUAUUGGUUUGGAAAGGUAUCAAGGGGUUGAUUGAAAGAAGAAAGGAUUGUUUCGGAUUGGAUUUCAUUUUUGACGUGAAAAAUAUAUAUAUUUUUUAUAUUAAUUCUACUGAAGAGAACUGUUCUAUGUGCUUUGGAGACGUUGCGUAACGGAGACAAUUAUUGUAUUAACAUAAUAAAAAUUGGAAAUAAAUAUAUGAAGGAUGUGGAUGUUAUGAAAUGAAGGUUAUAUUCAGGUUUCGGUCAACCAUUGUCCUUGUUUAGGGUUAAUAGUGUAAAAGUAGAUGAAUAAUGUGAAUAUUAAUAGAAUAAAUUAUAUCGAUACAAGAAUAAUUGUUGGAACUAAAGGGAACCAAAAGUGUGAUGGAUUAUAUGUGAAAAGGAAAUAAACCUCGGAUGACGUAUACAGUAUUGAAAUAAAAUAUAGGUAUUAAACUUCAGAUAAUAGAUACAAUAAUACCAAAAGCAACUGAAUAUAUACAAAGAUAUUAUCAGAAAUAAUAAAGUAACUAAAUACCCUACAGAAAAUAAUAAAAUACAAAAACUAACAUGCACAUACAGUACAUGUACGACAUCCAUUGUUUCAAAAUUAAUAAAACAUUCCUAUCGCGAAUGUGCUUCAAACUGGAAUAAAUGUUAGAAGAAUGAUUCCCAUUUAUUCCAAUAGAACAGAAAAAUAACACGAAUCAUUACAUAUCAAUCCAUGGAAUCCAAUCGCAACAAAAAUUGAACACAGAGUUUCAUCGUUAAAACGGAAAAAGAUGCUUCCCAAUAGCGAGUUACCGAUGAUAUCGAAACCGUUGCGACUCGACGCUCGAUUCGCGAACGUCGGAUCGAAAUUGUUUUUUCCCCCCUCCGGGCAGGUCACUGUUUUUUCCUCCCCGUGACACGAAAUUAAUGGGACUCGAGCGAGGGGGAAAAUUUGAUAAACCGUUCGCAGCUUUUCCCCUCCCUCCAACGGCUCGUCGAUGCAGUCGAUGUUUACCGCGAAAAUCGUUUCGCUGAUCGGGCAAACAAAAACCCAGCGGGCGCGAAUCCCGCGAAAAGAUAUUCCGUUCGAUCGAACGCGUGCUUUUUUCCAUCGGCAGUCAAAAAAUUUCAUCGCGAUAAAGCAAAGAGAGCCGAUCGCGCGGAGAGGGGAGCGGAGGGGAGAAAAAGGUACGCGGACGCGAUUUUCGGAGGCUGUAAAAAACACAUGUUUGCACCAGGAGCCGCUAUAGCAGAGCCCCGAUCAGAUGGUUACGGGGCCGAUUUGCAUGCGACCUUUGCCUCCAGGUGUUUCAGAAUUUGCAUACGAAAGGGUGGCGCUCACAGAUUUCCCCUCCCGUUCCUUCUGCUCUCCUCUCGUUUCGUUUUCCCCGGUGCGCUCCGCUGUCUUCCUCUUUCUCUCUGGACCGCGCAACCCCCGGCGUACGCAUUUAUAGGUUACUGGCUCAGCGUGUCGCGUCGUUAACUCGCCGUUAAAUUUUCGUUAACGUCGCUCUUUAACCGGCGCGGCUUCGCCAGCUGAACGGAAAUUACGAUCGACUCGAAUUAGUUCGCGAGCUGUUGCGAGAACUGUUUCAAGGGAGUGAUUCCCUUUUUUUCUCCGGCUUGGGAAACGAACAUUAUUCGAGAAUUUAUUUGAAGUAUACGGCACGAGCGACACGUUCGAGGUGUUCUCCAUUCGUUCGAGGUGUAUUUACAAGGUAAAAUAUAUUUAUUUCGUGUGGAAAAUAUAAGUACUGCAGGAGGGUAUUGGUAACUCGCUGUGACGGAGAAAAGAGGGAUAGAAGAGUGGACGUCUUCCUUUGGAAGUGAAUUGGAAUAAUUGUUUUGGAAGGUUUUUGGGAAUGAAGCGUGGGGAAGAUUAAUUUGUUGUUGUUAGAGACAAAAUUACUUCUCCGAAUUAGUAAACAAAAAUUAAGUAGAUAAAUAACAGUGUUGAUAUUGGUUCUCGUAUACUGAUCGAAAGCUCUGGUUUUAAUAAAUAUCAUUCAAUAUACUAUAUACGAUUAUUAUUUAUAAAACUGAGUUCACGUUUUACUAACACAACAAUAGAGCAAAUUGUAUCAACUUCAUUUAUAAUGUCUUAUAUAUCAGCAGACAAACUAUUUGUAGAUGGCCUGAUAACGACACAAAUAAAUAGAUAUGGAAAAUGCAAAAAUAUAUAGGUCCUUAUUUUAGUAAUUUAUUAUCAGGGGAAAAUUUAUCAGUAUUUGCAUGGAAAUAGAGAUAUAGAUUAGUCCAACAAGACUCCAAGCGUUUAUCAGCAUUACGCAAAAUAUCUUUAAUUACAAAUAUUAAUGAAUCACAAAAAUUGCGAAAUAAGGAUAAAUGCCGUCCAUUUAAAUAUUUCCACCGUAUUAUGUUUUGAUCUUCUUAAAUAAUAUGUAUAAUUCUAGUCUUACAUAAAAUAUAAAUAAAAUAGUAAAAUAAUACAAAGCUCGAGAAUUUAGAAAAUGAAAAAUAUCAAUUAAAUAAUGAUGUACGUGAUAAAAUAUUGUCACAUGAUCUUGACCAUACAAUUUCACUUACACAAUAAUUUAUCCGAUACUUUUUAGUCAAGGUCCCCCAGACCAUCGUUAUUUUACCAUUACACAAUACAAUUUAAAUAAACCCCACUUAAAUAACGUUUCUUCCGCCGCUUUUACGAUCAAGAUUUGCCGCGACAAUGAAAGUAAAAGCGCCAGAGUACAAAUUUCACGGACCAGUCGUAAAUAAUCCGCCACGGUGAACAAAAUCAACGUGUCCUGUAGGAGAGGCUGUAAAAGUCGGGCUCCGUCGUCGCAUAAUUGCGAUAAUUUAUUCGUAAAAAUCACGGCUCGGUUACGAUCGCAAUCAAAAGAGCCACAUGACGCGUUAAAAAUUCCGACGCGAGAAAUAAGCGACGUUUUGCUGGCUGGAAAUUUUAACGAGUUACUCUCGAAAGCGCGGAACGGUCUCCGCGGAGGGUUCGGUGAAUCAAAGCCUAUUAUAAAUUCAAUCACGCGCACGGCCAGCCAGAAACGAGCAAACUGAAAAGAGUCCCAUGCCAUUACUUCUGAUUACCGAUCGGUAUCGCGCGCGAUGAAGGCUACUGCAAAUAUCGUUUGCGCGCAACGAGAGUUUCCACGCAAACCAUUGAUUUAUGUAUUGCGAAACGCAGACAAGGAUCGUGUUUAUCGAGCGAGAUUAUCCGCCUAUCGACGGGAGCAGAAACGAUUUCAUACGAAUCGUUGUCGGACACGGCAGAACCUCCCAUUAUCCAGACACGCUGGAACGGUAUUCACUCUCUGAUAAAAAUUUCUAUCUUCCUCUUCCAAUCAAAGCUUUUAAUAGAUUUAUAUAAAUUUAGAUGUACAUAUUUUUUGGCGCUUAGCAAAUACGCCUAUUUAUAACAUAUUUAAAUUCACAGUGUAUAAGUGUUGUUCUACACUAUUCUACAGCAUUGAAUUUCACUAAUAAUGCAAAUUUCAUAAAAAUGUACGUGAUAGUGAUACUGAUUAAUGAUGAGAUAGUAUUUCAUUUCAUUGUAAUAGAAAUUCACUUGAAUAAAAUAAUAUUUUAUAUGGCUGUGUAAACAAAAGCUUGAAUACUAUAAUAAUUUACUUGAAUGUAAAGAUGAAUGCUUGUUAAAACUAAUAUUUUAUACGGUUGGAAGAAAAAGAAAGUACCAUAAAAUAUUAAUGCUUUACAAUAUUGUAUAUAAUAAAUAUUAUAACAUUUUAUAUUAAAAAGAACACAAGUGUGAGUAAAAUAAUUCGCUUACAUCUGUUCUGUUCCCACCACCGCACGAAAUAUUGUUUCACCCAAAAACGCGCAGUUCUCCCAACGAAUUAGCAAUUGCUGUUAACAUCUGACGGUCGAUCGUAGUGAAAAAAUGCUCCACUUUUUCACGAUAGUUACAAGUGAUGGAGGAUUCUCGUCCACUCUGCGGAUCACGCGUUCCAAUGGAUGCUCUCAAAAAAAUUUUAUCGACAUGUUACAUCGCUCUCCAUCAGUCUUCGUUACUUUUUUUUUUCUUGCACCCAAUUAUUCUCGAGGUUAAAGAAUCAAUAAUCAACUCGACAAAAAAUCGAGAUUCCCCAGUGGAUUUGAAAUACUUUCGAAACUCCCCGAGGCGAAGCGUGUCUGUCGAAGCGUUCCUACGCGCCGUGUCUGACAAUGAUUGAAGGCUGACUUAUACUACUUCCUCCGCAGUCACCUCGAAAGUCGCUAACGCAGACUCCGCGCUACUUGCCAUUGAGUUCUAACCAUGCGUGAUCUUGAGAAUGAUAUCAAUUAUGCAGCUCGUAAUAGUAGAAAAAGAUUUAAUGGGUCGUAGAGUGAAUAAAUAAAUGCACGAUUCUCAUUAGUCUUGACGAAACCGAUUUUUAAAUUGCUCUGUUUGUUGCAACGCUAUAUUUAGUUGAACAAUUGUCUUUAUCUUGUUGAUCGUGUUUUAUAAUCUAUGAAUUAAAAAACAAAUCUGUCACCAACAUUUAUCCUGUAUACUUUAUGUACCCCCUCGCCAGGGUUGCAAUUAACGGCUAAUGUACAUAUUAAAGCAACAAUUAUCUCUGCAUAACGAUCGUUAGAUCACUGGAGAAUACCUUGAAAGUUACAAUUACAGGUUGAGCCUAACCUUGCUGUCUCUUUAUGUUAUCUAUCCUUUUGUAAAUUAUGAAGUGUCUAAAAUGGUCUUUCUCGGGCACGGUGGAUAAUAUACUAUUAAUCAAUGGUAUUAAUUUUGUUGGUGUCCUAUAUUUGAGUAAGACUGUUCAUACUUCAUAAUCACAUCUUGCACCUCGUAAUUUUAAAAACUUCUCCGAAUUCUCUACAAUUCUUCACAAAUAGAAAGCACAUUCGAAUUGAAUAUUUUUAUUAAAAUUCGCGAUUAAACAUUCUUUUCCAUUGCAGUGCGCAUUAAAUCGUUAUAAUUAAAAGAAGGUAUAUAAACUUACCACUAAAGAACGAACUGCCUUGACCUUUCUUCAAGAACAAUUUCGGAUCGUAGUACGAUACCAAUAUUUGAUCCACAGAUCAUCAAUUUUGUUAACAAAUUCGAUAAAUGUAAGGUAUUUAACAUCUACAAAAUCCGUUUCAUGUAUCGUAGAAGCAUCGCAUAAUCAUCAUCCGUGGUUUCCAUCUUCGCAGAUGUUUAGGCUACCUCCCAGCAUCCCUUAGAUAAAAAAAAUUCGUACUCGCGCCUCAUAUUUGUCCAACAUUUAAUCUUCUUCGGCGCUGAUCGCUUAAUCCGCUCCGGAACCUCCGCGGUGUCGCGGCAUCUACGCGCGCCUAACCGCGUGCGUGUGCGUGGUUCCGCGAUGAUAUGGAGAGGCCGGUUGGC